AAGCAAUUCAUGAUCAGAUGUUUAGAAUGUUGGUUGCAUUCUCUUCAGAUGCUAAUUGAUUUCCUUGACAUCUCUUUUUAGUCUGGCACAGUGCCCGCCUAAGUACUUUGUCUGACCUUUUAGACCUCAUGCCAGAUAUCGAUUGAGAAUCUACAAUAGCAACGUUGUAUCUUCUCUUCAAUCUUUGAUAAUCUGCCAACAAGAGAGAGACAGGAAGUCAAUCGGUUGC